UACGUAGGGUCCGAGCGUUGUCCGGAAUUAUUGGGCGUAAAGGGCUUGUAGGCGGUCUGUUGCGUCGGGAGUGAAAACUUACAGCUUAACUGUGAGCGUGCUUUCGAUACGGGCAGACUUGAGGCAUUCAGGGGAGAACGGAAUUCCUGGUGUAGCGGUGAAAUGCGCAGAUAUCAGGAGGAACACCCAUGGCGAAGGCAGCAAGCUGGCCAAUUUCUGACGCUGAGGCGCGAAAGCGUGGGUAGCAAACAGG
rnacentral:rRNA from 1 species